CCUACGGGUGGCAGCAGUGGGGAAUAUUGGGCAAUGGGCGAAAGCCUGAACCAGCCAAGUCGCGUGAGGGAGUACUGCCCUAUGGGUUGUAAACCUCUUGUGUCGGGGAGCAAAAGCCGGACGUGUCCGGCUGUGAGAGUACCCGAAGAACAAGCAUCGGCUAACUCCGUGCCAGCAGCCGCGGUAAUACGGGGGAUGCACGCGUUAUCCGGGUUUAUUGGGUGUAAAGGGUGCGCAGGCGGAAUGUUAAGUCAGCGGUAAAAUCGGGGGGCUCAACCCCAUCCAGCCGUUGAAACUGGGGAUCUAGAGUGUGCGAGAGGUAUGCGGAAUGCGUGGUGUAGCGGUGAAAUGCAUAGAUAUCACGCAGAACCCCGAUUGCGAAGGCAGCAUACCGGUGCACAACUGACGGUCAGGCACGAAAGCGUGGGUAUCGAACAGGAUUAGAUACCCUUGUAGUC
rnacentral:rRNA from 1 species